rnacentral:rRNA from 1 species
UACGUAGGGUCCAAGCGUUUAUUCGGAAUCACUGGGCGUAAAGGGUGCGUAGGCGGGUCUUUAAGUCAGGGGUGAAAUCCUGGAGCUCAACUCCAGAACUGCCUUUGAUACUGAGGAUCUUGAGUUCGGGAGAGGUGAGUGGAACUGCGAGUGUAGAGGUGAAAUUCGUAGAUAUUCGCAAGAACACCAGUGGCGAAGGCGGCUCACUGGCCCGAUACUGACGCUGAGGCACGAAAGCGUGGGGAGCAAACAGG